UACAGAGGUCUCGAGCGUUGUUCGGAUUCAUUGGGCGUAAAGGGUGCGUAGGUGGUCUGGUAAGUCGGAUGUGAAAUCCCCGGAGCUUAACUUCGGAACUGCAUUCGAUACUGCCGGACUGGAGUACUGGAGAGGAGAUCGGAAUUUACGGUGUAGCAGUGAAAUGCGUAGAUAUCGUAAGGAAGACCAGUGGCGAAGGCGGAUCUCUGGACAGUUACCUGACACUGAGGCACGAAGGCCAGGGGAGCAAA
rnacentral:rRNA from 1 species